AUACGGAGGGUCCGAGCGUUAAUCGGAAUUACUGGGCGUAAAGCGCUCGUAGGCGGCCUGUUAAGUCGGAUGUGAAAGCCCCGGGCUCAACCUGGGAACUGCAUUCGAAACUGGCAGGCUAGAGUAUAGUAGAGGCAAGUGGAAUUCCGGGUGUAGCGGUGAAAUGCGUAGAUAUCCGGAGGAACAUCAGUGGCGAAGGCGACUUGCUGGACUAAUACUGACGCUGAGGAGCGAAAGCGUGGGGAGCAAACGGGAUUAGAAACCCCAGUAGUCC
rnacentral:rRNA from 1 species